CCCCUAGUAACGGCGAGUGAAGCGGGAAAAGCUCAAAUUUAAAAUCUGGCAGUCUUUGAUUGUCCGAGUUGUAGUCUAGAGAAGUGUUUUCCGCGCUGGACCGUGUACAAGUCUCUUGGAACAGAGCGUCAUAGAGGGUGAGAAUCCCGUCUUUGACACGGACUACCAGUGCUUUGUGAUGCGCUCUCAAAGAGUCGAGUUGUUUGGGAAUGCAGCUCAAAAUGGGUGGUAAAUUCCAUCUAAAGCUAAAUAUUGGCGAGAGACCGAUAGCGAACAAGUACCGUGAGGGAAAGAUGAAAAGCACUUUGGAAAGAGAGUUAAACAGUACGUGAAAUUGCUGAAAGGGAAACGCUUGAAGUCAGUCGCGUUCGCUAGAACUCAGCCUUGCUUUUGCUUGGUGCAUUUUCUAGUAAACGGGCCAGCAUCAGUUUUGACCGCAGGAAAAAGGUCAGGGGAAUGUGGCACCUUCGGGUGUGUUAUAGCCUCUGAUUGUAUACUGUGGUUGGGACUGAGGAUCUCAGCACGCCUUUAUGGCCGGGGUUCGCCCACGUUCGUGCUUAGGAUGCUGGCGUAAUGGCUUUAAACGACCCGUCUUGAAACACGGACCAAGGAGUCUAACAUACCUGCAAGUGUUUGGGUGGUAAACCCGAGCGCGUAAUGAAAGUGAAAGUUGGGAUCUCUGUCGUGGAGAGCACCGACGCCCGGACCAGACCUUCUGUGACGGCUCCGCGGUAGAGCAUGUAUGCUGGGACCCGAAAGAUGGUGAACUAUGCCUGA
rnacentral:rRNA from 1 species